CUCGGGUCAUGAUAUCUCUAAUCAAGUUGAACCUCCUUAGAAUGUACUUAGACUAUUGAUGAGACUUGAGUUCCUUCGUUUGAGCAAUUGCCCCGUUGUUGUUGCAAUAUAAGGGAAUCAGUUCCUUAUUGCUUGGCAUGACUCCAAGAUCUGUGAUGAACUUCUUCAUCCAGACUCCCUCCUUUGCUACCUUUAUUGUAGUAAUGUACUUCACCUUUGUGGUCG
rnacentral:lncRNA from 1 species